GAUGAACGCUGGCGGCGUGCCUAAUACAUGCAAGUCGAGCGAAUGGAUUAAGAGCUUGCUCUUAUGAAGUUAGCGGCGGACGGGUGAGUAACACGUGGGUAACCUGCCCAUAAGACUGGGAUAACUCCGGGAAACCGGGGCUAAUACCGGAUAACAUUUUGAACCGCAUGGUUCGAAAUUGAAAGGCGGCUUCGGCUGUCACUUAUGGAUGGACCCGCGUCGCAUUAGCUAGUUGGUGAGGUAACGGCUCACCAAGGCAACGAUGCGUAGCCGACCUGAGAGGGGGAUCGGCCACCCUGGGACUGAGACACGGCCCAGACUCCUACGGGAGGCAGCAGUAGGGAAUCUUCCGCAAUGGACGAAAGUCUGACGGAGCAACGCCGCGUGAGUGAUGAAGGCUUUCGGGUCGUAAAACUCUGUUGUUAGGGAAGAACAAGUGCUGGUUGAAUAAGCUGGCACCUUGACGGUACCUAGCCAGAAAGCCACGGCUAACUACGUGCCAGCCGCCGCAGUAA
rnacentral:rRNA from 1 species